rnacentral:sRNA from 1 species
GCUAGGUGUGGUGUGCACACCUGUAAUGUCUGGGAUUCAGGAGGCUGAGGCUGGAGGAUUGCAAGUUUGAGGCCAGCCUCAGUAACUUAGUGAGUCCCUAAGCAAUUUAGCAAGACCCUGUCUCAA